UCCGCGCAGGCGCAGUGCGAUCUUUGGGCGGUGUGUCAUGGCGGCGGCUCUGAGCGGGAUGUUUACAAACCAGCCGCCGGGAGCGCCUCCCCCUCCGCUCCCUCCUGGCGGCCCCGGCCAGGCCGGCCUCCUCCCGGCCUCCGCGGGACCGCGCAACCCCAACAGCACGCUGGUGGACGAGCUAGAAGCGUCCUUUGAGGCUUGCUUUGCUUCACUUGUGAGUCAGGAUUAUGUGAAUGGCACAGAUCAGGAAGAAAUUAGAACUGGUGUUGAUCAAUGUAUCCAGAAAUUUCUGGAUGUUGCGAGACAAACUGAAUGUUUUUUCCUACAAAAAAGAUUACAUCUGUCUGUCCAGAAACCAGAGUUAGUUAUUAAAGAGCCUUUCAAAAUUGGGUAUUUCUGCUUUGUGAUAGCUGGAAUGAAUAUAGGAGCAUGGAGAAACAAGGUGGGUGAGGCAGAAAUAAGCAAGUCCCAUAAGGAGAAAGAGAGCCAAAUUCUUUUCUGAUUUAGGCUCUGAUUCAACAUGCCAUGAGCUUCUCAGCAUCUUGCAGGAUUGGGCUCUAUGUUUGGAAAAUAUAGACUGUCCAGUUUGGCCGAUGUACAUAGCAGAGAGGCAACACUCGAUGCGGAAACUACAGAACCCGAACCACCAAAAAAGAAAAUCAACCAUCUGUUGGUGGCAUUUUACUCAGAUAAUGAAAAUGAACAUGGAUUGGUUUGAAGUGCUUUGGAUUGUUAUCGAGCAGAAUCCGUCAUCAGCAUGGAUGCAUAUCCCCUGGAAUGGUGGUUGAAGCAUGAAGGGACAUAUGAAUCUUUAGCCAUCUGGCACGUAAAUAUCUUGCGAUGCUGGCUACAACAGUGCCAUGAGAAUGCCUGUUCUCACUUUCAGGUGACAUUGUAAACAAGAAGCAGGCAGCAUCUCCUGCAAAGGUAAACAAACUUGUUUGUCUGAGCGACUGGCUGAACAAGAAGUAGGACUGGACUUCCAAGCUCUAAAAUUUUACAUUGUUUUAUUUUUGAAUGCUGGUUUUUUUGUAAAUAAUUCUACAUUUGUAAGUUUAACUUUUGUGAUAGAGAUUACACUACAGUACUUGUAUUAGAUGAAGUGAAAAAUACAAUUUCUUUUGUUUUUUCAUAGUACAAAUAUUUGCAACAAAAAUAAAGUGAGCACUGUGCACUUUG